CAGGCUGCCUUUCACACAGCUCCAGCUGUCAGGCUGCCCUGCACCCGCUCUGCACAGCCUCCCCACAUGCUCGCUGCCAGCCUGGACCAGAACUGGAUCUAGGAGGACGCUGCACCCCGGUGUCUGACCCCACAGAAUUUCCUAGCUCCAAAUCUUCAGAUGUGAGUACACAACCUGGAGUGACUGCAGUGACCAGAAAAAUAAGAACAGACCACUAUGGAAUGUGGGUGAGUAAUAAAGAGGGGAUAACAGGAAACAAGUGAUCUAAAGGGGGAAAUGGAAAACCAGGAAAAGAGAUUUAAUUAUGGAGAAGAGACAAACAAAACAUAGAAGGAGGAUGUCUAAAAAGUCAUAAGAAAUCAUACUAUUAUCCAUCCAACAAAAUAUGCCAUAUAUAUAUAUAUAUAUAUCCAUACAAAUACAUUUAGAGUGUAAUUGAAACAUCUCCAUUUGGGCUGAUGAUGAUCCUCACAAGAGCCAUAGAUUUUCUAACAAAACCACUCACACAAGGCAUGAGAAGCCUGUUUUGAAGUUGUUUGUCACAGCUGUCCAAGAGGCACCCAAAACACAGGCUACUGCUAUUGUCCAUGCUUGCUUCCCAGAGGUAGAAGGUGAAUUUCUAUUGUUGAAGAAGCCAUACACUUCACACGUAUAACCCAGAGGAUGCAAGAUGGAUAUGACCUUAAAGCCUCCUCCUUGGGGACUAGCUUUCAUGGUACUACUAGGCAACAUGCAACCUUCCAAAAGAGGAAGCCAGCCAACAGUCCUACCCAGCUAUGACACCUGUGAACCACAACAAUGAUCUGCACUGCAUGAUAGCCCUAAGGGUGCAAGAGUGGCACACAGACCUUGGUGGUAAUCACAGCUUCUAUUUGGAUUAAGACACUGUCAACAAGGGGGAAAUCAUGCCUGGUACUGGAAACCUAGUCAAUUUCCCCAGGGUUAGUGAAGUCAAGGAUCCUGGAGAGGAACCUACAAUCAUUACUUUACUAAAUCAGCAUAAUCCCUAACUGCAAUCUAAAUAUUUAUCCUUAUUCCCACAGAAAAAUGUAGUUCUCACCUCUCAUCAAUAAAAAUAAUUUAUGCAAUACAUAGAGGUUGUUACAGAAAACAACAGUCAGAAUGCAGGGUUGUGGUGCCCAGUCUCCACUGACACAUAAGCAACACAACUCCUUUGUGUUCAGGGAUCACUGGGAAAGAGGGGCAGAAAUACUGUAAGAGCCAGAGGAACAGGAAAUGUCAGAGAAGCUACAUGCAUGAAAUCAUACAAACAUGCUGAUUAAACAUGAA